UCUCUGGUAGUAUAUCGGAUAGUACACCCGCCUGUCAUGUAGGAAACACGACCGCGGGAGAGCGGGGUUCGACUCCCCGCCAGAGAG
rnacentral:tRNA from 1 species